UACGUAGGGUGCAAGCGUUGUCCGGAAUUAUUGGGCGUAAAGGGCGCGUAGGCGGCUUGGCAAGUGGAAGGUGAAAUCCCUCGGCUUAACCGAGGAACUGCCCUCCAAACUGCUUGGCUUGAGACCGGGAGAGGUGAGUGGAAUUCCCAGUGUAGCGGUGAAAUGCGUAGAUAUUGGGAGGAACACCAGUGGCGAAGGCGGCUCACUGGACCGGUACUGACGCUGAGGCGCGAAAGCGUGGGGAGCAAACGGG
rnacentral:rRNA from 1 species